rnacentral:rRNA from 1 species
UCUCAAAGAUUAAGCCAUGCAUGUCUCAGUACAAGCCAAAUUAAGGUGAAACCGCGAAAGGCUCAUUAAAUCAGUUAUGGUUCCUUAGAUCGUACCCACACUUACUUGGAUAACUGUGGUAAUUCUAGAGCUAAUACAUGCAAACAGAGCUCCGACCGGAGACGGAAGGAGCGCUUUUAUUAGAUCAAAACCGAUCGGUGGUGGAUUUAUUCCAUCAUCGUACAAUUUGGUGAAUCUGAAUAACUUUAAGCUGAUCGCACGGUCUCGCACCGGCGACGCAUCUUUCAAAUGUCUGCCUUAUCAACUGUCGAUGGUAGGUUCUGCGCCUACCAUGGUUGUAACGGGUAACGGGGAAUCAGGGUUCGAUUCCGGAGAGGGAGCCUGAGAAACGGCUACCACAUCCAAGGAAGGCAGCAGGCGCGCAAAUUACCCACUCCCGGCACGGGGAGGUAGUGACGAAAAAUAACGAUACGGGACUCAUCCGAGGCCCCGUAAUCGGAAUGAGUACACUCUAAACCCUUUAACGAGGAUCAAUUGGAGGGCAAGUCUGGUGCCAGCAGCCGCGGUAAUUCCAGCUCCAAUAGCGUAUAUUAAAGUUGUUGCGGUUAAAAAGCUCGUAGUCGAAUUUGUGUCUCGCACCGUCGGUUCAUCGUUCGCGGUGUUAACUGGCGUGCCGCGGGACGUCCUGCCGGUGGGCUUAGCUCGAGAGGGCGGCCCAAAUCAAUCCCGCCGCGGUGCUCUUCAUUGAGUGUCGAGGUGGGCCGGCACGUUUACUUUGAACAAAUUAGAGUGCUUAAAGCAGGCUAAAAUUUCGCCUGAAUACUGUGUGCAUGGAAUAAUGGAAUAGGACCUCGGUUCUAUUUUGUUGGUUUUCGGAACCCCGAGGUAAUGAUUAAUAGGAACGGAUGGGGGCAUUCGUAUUGCGACGUUAGAGGUGAAAUUCUUGG